rnacentral:rRNA from 1 species
GAUGAACGCUAGCGAUAGGCUUAACACAUGCAAGUCGAGGGGUAACAUGGGAGUAGCUUGCUACUUCUGAUGACGACCGGCGGAUGGGUGAGUAACGCGUAUGCAACUUGCCUCUUAGUGGGGAAUAACCCGGAGAAAUCCGGACUAAUACCGCAUACACUUAGUUAUCCGCAUGGAUGAUUAAGGAAAGAUUUAUUGCUAAGAGAUAGGCAUGCGUUCCAUUAGUUAGUUGGUGAGGUAACGGCUCCCAAGGCAUCGAUGGAUAGGGGAGCUGAGAGGCUUAUCCCCCACAUUGGGACUGAGACACGGCCCAA